GAUGAACGCUGGCUACAGGCUUAACACAUGCAAGUCGAGGGGAAACGACGGGGAAGCUUGCUUCCCUGGGCGUCGACCGGCGCACGGGUGAGUAACGCGUAUCCAACCUGCCUCUGACUGAGGGAUAACCCGUCGAAAGUCGGCCUAAUACCUCAUGGCAUCGUCUGCGGGCAUCCAACGACGAUUAAAGAUUUCAUCGGUCAGGGAUGGGGAUGCGUCUGAUUAGCUUGUUGGCGGGGUAACGGCCCACCAAGGCGACGAUCAGUAGGGGUUCUGAGAGGAAGGUCCCCCACAUCGGAACUGAGACACGGUCCAAACUCCUACGGGAGGCAGCAGUGAGGAAUAUUGGUCAAUGGGCGAGAGCCUGAACCAGCCAAGUAGCGUGCAGGAUGACGGCCCUAUGGGUUGUAAACUGCUUUUAUGCGGGGAUAAAGUGAGGGACGUGUCCUUCAUUGCAGGUACCGCAUGAAUAAGGACCGGCUAAUUCCGUGCCAGCAGCCGCGGUAAUACGGAAGGUCCGGGCGUUAUCCGGAUUUAUUGGGUUUAAAGGGAGCGUAGGCCGUGGAUUAAGCGUGUUGUGAAAUGCAGGUGCUCAACGUCUGCACUGCAGCGCGAACUGGUCCACUUGAGUGUGCGCAACGCAGGCGGAAUUCGUCGUGUAGCGGUGAAAUGCUUAGAUAUGACGAAGAACUCCGAUUGCGAAGGCAGCUUGCGGGAGCACAACUGACGCUGAAGCUCGAAAGUGCGGGUAUCGAACAGG
rnacentral:rRNA from 1 species